GCCUCUGUAGCUCAGUUGGCCUCUGCAGAGCACUGCACUGGAAUCGCAGGGCUGCAGGUUCAAUUCUUGCCAGAGGAU